GACGUAGGGGGCAAGCGUUGUCCGGAAUCAUUGGGCGUAAAGCGCUCGUAGGUGGAUCGGUAAGUCUGCAAAGAAAGACCCGGGCUCAACUCGGGGAACGGUGUGGAUACUACCGAUCUUGAGGCAAUCAGAGGAUGAUGGAAUUCCCGGUGUAGCGGUGGAAAUGCGUAGAUAUCGGGAGGAACACCAGUGGCGAAGGCGAUCAUCUGGGGUUGUUCUGACACUGAGGAGCGAAAGCUAGGGGAGCAAACGGG
rnacentral:rRNA from 1 species